rnacentral:rRNA from 1 species
AGUGAACGCUGGCGGUAGGCCUAACACAUGCAAGUCGAACGGCAGCACAGUAAGAGCUUGCUCUUACGGGUGGCGAGUGGCGGACGGGUGAGGAAUACAUCGGAAUCUACUUUUUCGUGGGGGUUAACGUAGGGAAACUUAUGCUAAUACCGCAUACGACCUACGGGUGAAAGCAGGGGAUCUUCGGGCCUUGUGUGAUUUAAUGAGCCGAUGUCGGAUUAGCUGGUUGGCGGGGUAAAGGCCCACCAAGGCGACGAACCGUAGCUGGUCUGGGAGGAACAUCCGCCACACUGGAACUGAGACACGGUCCAGACUCCAACGGAAGGCAGCAGUGGGGAAUAUUGGACAAUGCGCGCAAGCCUGAUCCAGCCAUACCGCGUGGGUGAAGAAGGCCUUCGGGUUGUAAAGCCCUUUUGUUGGGAAAGAGAAGCAGCAGGUUAAUACCCCGCUGUUCUGACGGUACCCAAAGAAUAAGCACCGGCUAACUUCGUG